rnacentral:rRNA from 1 species
AAUAAUUAAACGGCCGCGGUAUCCUAACCGUGCAAAGGUAGCAUAAUCAUUUGUCUAUUAAUUGUAGACCUGUAUGAAAGGCAAAAUGAGAGCCCAACUGUCUCUUAUAACAAAUCAAUAAAACUGAUCUCCUAGUACAAAAGCUAGAAUACUAACAUAAGACCAGAAGACCCUGUGAAGCUUUAACAAACCCAUUAAAUCAAAUAAUGAUUACUUUCGGUUGGGGCGACCUUGGAAUAAAAGAGAACUUCCAACAUAUGACCUGCUCAUAAAACAAGGCAAACAAGCCAAUACUAGACCCAGCACAGCUGAUAAUUGAAAUAAGUUACUCCAGGGAUAACAGCGCUAUCUUCUUUAAGAGCCCAUAUCAAAAAGAAGGUUUACGACCUCGAUGUUGGAUCAGGACAUCCCAGUAAUGCAUCCGUUACUAAAGGUUCGUUUGUUCAACGAUUAACAGUCCUACGUGAUCUGC